rnacentral:rRNA from 1 species
CGCCGCGGUAAUACGAAGGUCCCAAGCGUUGUUCGGAAUCACUGGGCGUAAAGGGAGCGUAGGCGGCGUGGUAAGUCAGAUGUGAAAUCCCGGGGCUCAACCCCGGAACUGCAUCCGAUACUGCCAUGCUUGAGGGUUGGAGAGGUAGCUGGAAUUCUCGGUGUAGCAGUGAAAUGCGUGGAUAUCGAGAGGAACACUCGUGGCGAAGGCGAGCUACUGGACAACAUCUGACGCUGAGGCUCGAAGGCUAGGGUAGCGAAAGGGAUUAGAUACCCGCGUAGUCCCUGUCUCUUAUACACAU